rnacentral:pre_miRNA from 1 species
CAAAUACUCCCUCCGUCCGGAAAUACUUCUCAUCAAAAUGGCUAAAAGGAAAUGUAUCUAGAAGUAUUUUAGUUUUAGAUACAUCUAUUUUUAUCCAUUUUGAUGACAAGUAUUUUUGAACAGAGGGAGUAGAAA